GACGAACGCUGGCGGCGUGCUUAACACAUGCAAGUCGAACGGAAAGGCCCUGCUUUUGUGGGGUGCUCGAGUGGCGAACGGGUGAGUAACACGUGAGUAACCUGCCCUUGACUUUGGGAUAACUUCAGGAAACUGGGGCUAAUACCGGAUAGGAGCUCCUGCUGCAUGGUGGGGGUUGGAAAGUUUCGGCGGUUGGGGAUGGACUCGCGGCUUAUCAGCUUGUUGGUGGGGUAGUGGCUUACCAAGGCUUUGACGGGUAGCCGGCCUGAGAGGGUGACCGGCCACAAUGGGACUGAGAUACGGCCCAGACUCCUACGGGAGGCAGCAGUGGGGAGUAUUGCACAAUGGGCGGAAGCCUGAUGCAGCGACGCCGCGUGCGGGAUGACGGCCUUCGGGUUGUGAACCGCUUUCGCCUGAGACGAAGCGUGAGUGACGGUAAUGGGUAAAGAAGCACCGGCUAACUACGUG
rnacentral:rRNA from 1 species